UACAGAGACUGCAAGCGUUAUUCGGAUUCACUGGGCGUAAAGGGUGCGCAGGCGGCCGUAUGUGUGAGGCGUGAAAGCCCGGGGCUUAACCCCGGAAUUGCACCUCAAACUAUACGGCUAGAGCAUUGGAGAGGGUAGCAGAAUUCAUGGUGGUAGCAGUGAAAUGCGUAGAUAUCAUGAGGAAUACCAGAGGCGAAGGCGGCU
rnacentral:rRNA from 1 species